rnacentral:rRNA from 1 species
AGUGAACGCUGGCGGUAGGCCUAACACAUGCCAGUCGAACGGCAGCACAGUAAGAGCUUGCUCUUACGGGUGGCGAGUGGCGGACGGGUGAGGAAUACAUCGGAAUCUACUUUUUCGUGGGGGAUAACGUAGGGAAACUUACGCUAAUACCGCAUACGACCUACGGGUGAAAGCAGGGGAUCUUCGGACCUUGCGCGAUUGAAUGAGCCGAUGUCGGAUUAGCUAGUUGGCGGGGUAAAGGCCCACCAAGGCGACGAUCCGUAGCUGGUCUGAGAGGAUGAUCAGCCACACUGGAACUGAGACACGGUCCAGACUCCUACGGGAGGCAGCAGUGGGGAAUAUUGGACAAUGGGCGCAAGCCUGAUCCAGCCAUACCGCGUGGGUGACGAAGGCCUUCGGGUUGUAAAGCCCUUUUGUUGGGAAAGAAAAGCAGCAGGUUAAUACCCCGCUGUUCUGACGGUACCCAAAGAAUAAGCACCGGCUAACUUCGU